UAUAUAAAAAUCCAUCUUUAAGGCAUUUUUUCCACUUAAGCAGCCAACUAGAACUUGCAAAAGAAGUUCUCUCUUCUAUCUAUUUAUUAUUUAUUAGUUUCUCUUCAUCAAUUUUUAGCUUUACAGCCAGCAUUAUCAAUGGCGUACCCGCAUGCUUUGACUACAAUAAAUUGCUUGUUUUGCGUUUUACUAAGGUUAGGUUGAUGAAUUAUUUACUUCUAUGGGAUCUAAGUACUCUCCAAGUAAAAAAAACAAAAUUGAAAUCCAUGACCAAGAUUGAGUUUUUUUCCUUUUUAAGAUAAACCCAGUUCAAAAAUUUUGGAUUUUCUUAUUUUUAGUUACAUGGGCAAAGAAAGAUCUGAGAUAUGAGGGGUUUUGUUCUAUAUUUUAAGUGAUAGUAUCGGUUAUUGGGAUUUGCGAUGAAUUGUUACUGUAGCUAGUUAAAAACAACGGUCAUGAGGAGAACUACUAGAUAGUAUGGUUCUUCUUAUAGGAGUUUUGAAGCUGCUCAAUGUGCUUGAAAAUGGACGUCCUCCGUAUUUGUUUGUGGCUUUUCGUUCUUGUAUGUGAAUGGCCCUUGAUUCAAUAAAGCAUAUGCAAUGUUGAUUUAAUGUGCAAAUGAAAAGAUAAAAAGACAAGGAGAAUAUGCUUCGCUGAAGACAUUUUGAGAUACAAUAUCCUAAAGUGAGUGUGGUAUUGAUGACUUAACAGCAUUGUCUGUCUUUUGGCUGAUGCAUAAACAUUGAUAGAUGGGUGAACUUGGGAAGUAUGGCUCUGUAACCGAGUCAACAGCAGGUGCUGAUCCAUGGUGACCUGAGUGUCAUCAACUUACAAGCCAUAUGAAUUUACCUUGAAACUCACCGUUGUUGUGUUGAUUGGCCCAUAACCUAGUUAAAUUUAUGUUCGGAUUUUUUUUUUUCUUAUUUUGUGAUUCUUUCAUUUCAAGGGUAGAUUGCUGCACGCAGAAAUGGGUAAUUCUUGGUUGAUUUAAUGCCAAAUCACCUUUUGCAUGGUGCCCAAAUUGUGCUGCUUUUCACAAUUGAAGGGAGAUGCUGUCCAUUGGCUUCCUUCAGGGAACUCUUUUGCUGGUCAGUGGAUACUCUCCAAUUAGCUGUGACAAACUUCUCUGCAGACAAGCAUGUGUUGUGGAUCCAAGCUCCCAUCAAAAUCGCGGCAAGCUCUUUGUAAGUACAAUAAGAUCAGACUCUUGAGAGGAUGAUGUCUGAUCGGAAACCUACUGCUGAUGAUGUUUUGGAAAAAUCUUUCACGGUUUCUGAUUGAGUUAACUUUGAUGAAGAAUAAAAGAACAGCUGAAUCCUGCUAGACCUUUUUUUUGCUGCCUGUUCCUUUCUAUGCAGCAAUGGAUGGUUCUGCUACCACUGGAAUGAGUAGCUAAACAUUCUCUCUGUCAAAACAGCCUUAAACAUCAAUAGGAUUGUAGACUCAUAACAUUAGGAUAGGUCAUUUUGCUGCCUUCUCUUGGAAUUGUUUGUUGAUGUAAUUUUGGCUUAGAGAAAUGCCACCCAUGGACAUGAAUGGCCAAACAUUGUCUACCAACAACUGUUACACUCAUAGCAGGGUUUGGUUGUAUUUUAUGUCAUUUGCCAGUGUAAUGCACACACGGUCAAUAUUCACAGCUAUUGGCAGAA